rnacentral:rRNA from 1 species
ACACGUAGGAACCGAGCGUUGUCCGGAUUUACUGGGCGUAAAGGGCGAGUAGGCGGCUCGUUAAGUCUCAUGUGAAAUCUCCCGGCUUAACUGGGAGGGGUCAUGGGAUACUGGCAAGCUUGAGGGCAGUAGAGGAAAGUGGAAUUCCCGGAGUAGUGGUGGAAUGCGUAGAUACCGGGAGGAACACCAGUGGCGAAAGCGACUUUCUGGGCUGUACCUGACGCUGAGGCGCGAAAGCAUGGGGAGCAAACCGGAUUAGAAACCCGUGUAGUCC